rnacentral:misc_RNA from 1 species
GCUAAGGUUUACUAUGCGAGGAAUAUCAAAACCGGACAGAGUGUUGCCAUCAAAGUCAUAGACAAGGAAAAAGUUGUCAGGGUCGGGCUCAUGAAUCAGAUCAAACGGGAGAUAUCUGUUAUGAAACUAGUCAGACAUCCAAAUAUUGUGCAUCUUUACGAGGUCAUGGCGACAAAAACCAAGAUAUACUUUAUCAUGGAGUAUUGUAAAGGAGGUGAGCUCUUUAACAAGGUAGCUAAGGGAAGGCUAAAAGAGGACGCAGCACGGAAAUAUUUUCAGCAGUUGAUAAAUGCUGUAGAUUUCUGCCAUAGUAGGGGUGUCUAUCACCGGGAUUUGAAA